rnacentral:rRNA from 1 species
CCUACGGGAGGCAGCAGUCGGGAAUUUUGGGCAAUGGGCGAAAGCCUGACCCAGCAACGCCGCGUGAAGGAUGAAGCUUUUCGGAGUGUAAACUUCAUAAGAAUGGGACGAAUAAGGAAGGGCUAAUACCCCUUUUGAUGACGGUACCAUUUGUAAGCUCCGGCUAACUCCGUGCCAGCAGCCGCGGUAAUACGGGGGGAGCAAGCGUUGUUCGGAUUUACUGGGCGUAAAGGGCGCGUAGGCGGCGCAACAAGUCACUUGUGAAAUCUCCGGGCUUAACCCGGAGCGGCCAAGUGAUACUGUCGUGCUAGAGUGCGGAAGGGGCUACUGGAAUUCUCGGUGUAGCGGUGAAAUGCGUAGAUAUCGAGAGGAACACCUGCGGCGAAGGCGGGUAGCUGGGCCGACACUGACGCUGAGGCGCGAAAGCCAGGGGAGCGAAC